CAGAUAGAUGUGGUCCUUCAGAUGUCAUGGACUUUGGUCAGUUUCAGUACCAGAAGAGAAUUACGAAAUGGAACUGAAGAGAUUUAAAUAGGCAGAAGUGUUGAAAGGUUCUCUCUUUGGAAUGCAGAAUCUAUAUACAGUAUUGCUUUGUGGGUCUUUUGAUAUCUUUUAUUUUCAUUGCCAACAGAACAUGACCACAUUUACUUUUUUUCAUUUUUACAUUCUUAUCGUUAGCAAAAAGUGUUGAAAUUAACUUUCAGAUUUAUUCAUUCUCUUACAUUUCAGCAGCAGGGAACAUGUAGUCCUUUCACCCUUCAGUUCUUCUUAAAUAGUAUUUAGGAAUUAGUUAAUUUAACCUGGGUCUAUUUUAAGUACCGUAUUUAAAAGUUAGGGUAAUGUAGUAAUUAACCAUAGUUAACUCUCAGAACUAUCUGUGCUUUAGCUUGUGUCUGUAAUGGAUUCUCUCUCUCUCUCUCUCUCUCUCUCUCUCUCUCUCUCUCUCUCUCUCUUCUCUCUCUCUCUGACACAUACACACACAGAAUAGUACUGAAAAAUACAGUAGUUUUAGCGUUUAAAAUUCUGCAGUAAGUCCAUUUUUUUCAUACCUGAAUUCUGAAGAGAAAACCUUUCAAGUAAUCUUCCCUCGUACUGGAAGUUGGUGUGACUCCCUGGCAAACCUUUGGGAAACAGACUCCACCUUGGUCAAGAGUAUCAGGACAUGUUAUGAUUCAACUUUAAAGUACCAAGAAUUACCUUGGCCCCAUCCAAAGAGUGACGGAAUUUUGAGGAAGAUGAAAAUGACAGGAUUUUGGGAGGCAGAGGUUCACCGCGCAGUCUCAUGAAUGAAGAAACAAAUGUGAAUUUCCCAGAGGAAAGGGAUUUUAUAAAACAUCCUCUCACUUGAAGAAGUUCAGCAAAAUGAUGGAAAAGAUACAGCACUGCUCUUCGUUUAGUUUAUGAAAUCAUAUCAACAACUUCAUGGUGGUCGGUGUUGUCCUUGAAAGAAAAACUUGACGCAGCUGAUCAUCUCUUCGUUAAAAUGUUACCAACACUGUCAACCACACUUAAGUGACUCUAGGUCCCGACUGUGACACAUUAUAAGUUCCUCCAGACACUUCCAUAUAUCACUCCCUUGUACAUGUAAUGCCCUGAGCAUAGUUGACAAUCUGUGACUCAUUCAUUGUUUUCUGCUCCUCCAUCAAUCUAUUUAUGUGGAUCUUCAAUGUCUAGUUCAUGUCCACUCCUAAGAAGGUAGGGUACCUUUCCUUCAUUUCCUUUCCGUUUCCAAAAUGGGUGCCCUCCCUUCCUCCAUAUAUCAUUCCCAAAUAAGGAAUCCUCUCAUUCUUCACAUCCCAUUCCCAAAAAUGGAAUCCUAUCAUACUCUACAUCCCAUUCCCAUACAGGGUGUCCUAUCAUCCUACUUGUUCCACUCCCAAAUAGGGUAUCCCAUCAUCCUCAAGGAUUCCAUUCAUAGACAAGGAAUCUUAUCCUCCAUAUUCCAUUCCCAAACGGGCUAUCCUAUCAUUCUUCACAAUCUAUUCCCAAGCAGUGUCCCAUAAUUCUUGACAUUCCAUUCUCAAACAAGAGUAUCCUCCUAUCCCCCCAUUCCAUUUCCGGAGUAUCCUCUUAUCCUACGUGUCUCCAUCCUAAACAAGGCGCCCUAUCAUCCUCCAUAUCCCCUUCCCAAACAUGGUAUCCCAUCAACCUCCAGAUUCCAUUCCCAAACAGGGUAUUGUAUCCUCCAUAUACCAUACCCAAACUGGAUAACCCAUCAUCAUAAAUAUUCAUUUCUAGACAGGGUUUCCUCUCAUACUCCACAUUCCAUUCCCAAAUAUGGUAUCCUAUCAUCCUUCUUAUUUCACUCUUGAAUAAUGUAUCCUCCAAAUGUGAUACAUUUAGCUAAUUAUCGUUGAAUGUAUGUAUAUCUCUGAACACAAUUUCCCCAUUUUAGUAUUAUUUAGCCAUAUUACCCUUGAAAGAACUUUAUACCUUGUUAAUUACCAACACGAUAUUGUACGCUUCUUAUUUCACAUUAAAGGUAAAGUGAUAUUUUCAAAUUUAAAUUCGGUUAACAUUCACAAAAGCUUAUGUCAAAGAUAUAUACUUACAUCUGUCACUUCUUUGGUUUUGAUUUUAAAUUCAGAUAAGAAUACUAUGAAUCCAUUCAUCAGAAAUGCUGAGAAUCCCACUUCGUACCCACAUUGUACAUCACUUAGCACCUUUUGUACCUCAUUAUGGCACAUUGAUGCUUACAGGGAAGUUUUGUGGUUUGUCUUAAUAUUUAGUAAGGUUUGUUAUUAGCCUUCUGCCUACAUCUUCUCAUUUUAUAUGGCUUAUGAGAGAGGUGAAUUGCACCCAGAAUAAUUUAGAAGAUAAUCUUGUAUGUUUAUUGCUUGAGGAAAUUAAUUAUGAAUGAGGUAAUGUGUUUGAAGUUUAUUUUUAGAGAGCCAUAGUUAUCAUUAGAAAAUAAUUGUCGACUUUCUAGGCACAACUGCUUGUUAAAUUUCCAGGUACGAAUGAUCACUAUGGGCGUAGGUCAGUGCUUGUUAUUGCAGAUGCACGUGGCUGUUCAAUUUGCCAAAUGUAAAUAAUUAUGAUGUUACAACCAAUUGCUUAAUGUUAACAAAAGUAACUUAUAAAUAUGCAGAACUUUUUUAUGAUUAUUUAAGAUGUGAUAGAUAUGUUGCUCUGUUACCUUAAUUCCUUUGAGCAGUUAACCUCAGAUAGGUGUUUGUGAUUGGGAUCUAAUUAUGUAACCUUUGUUAAUUCUUCCCCAGUUUGUGCAGUUCAAGUAACAUUAAAAUGCAAAUUAUUAUUGUGAAAAUAAUAGAGAGAGGCGGGGGUUGGGUUGGAGUAAUAUGAUAUGUAAUAUUUCCUAUGAUUGUUGAUUCUUACUGAAUGACAGCUAUGGUUCUCUUUAAACAUCGGUAAAGCAUUCUUUUUAAAGAAAUCUUAAAAUUUUUUAUUUUUGUCAUUGAAGUAAUACUGUCUGUGCAUUACUACUGACAGUUUUCAGUCACUUUUGAUGUUUCUUUAAAAUUAUGCUAUUUUUAUAAACUGUACCUACUUUAUCUCCUUUUCAAGAACACUUUUGUAAACAUAAGCAGGAUACCUAUCUCAUGCUAAUUAGGAAAAUGUACUUGUUACAAAAGAAAUCCCUUAAUUAGCAUUCAUUUGUUCUUGCAUAUUGUAGUUUGCAUGCUUCUUAUCUUGUGUUACUCCUUUAUCAAUAAGUUAUUUGUUUUGUUUUACAAAGGGAUUCUUCCAUGUUGGUUAUAGAAACUCUUAACCCUUGUGAUAUAUGCCACGACUGUUGCUGCCAAUAGAGAGUUUCAGUCGCACGGUGAGCUAUUGCCCUUCAAGAUCCCUUGUAGGUGGCACCAAAUUAUUUUGCAGUGCAGUUCAGAUUCAGCUUCAUUCCAUUAUGUUUUUAUCUUUUACUUUUCUACUGUACCCCUUAGUUUUUUCUCGCUUUCAAAAGCCGUUUUCUAACUUUAUCUGGAUUGCACUAUUUUGCUCUCAUUUUCUCUCUUCAUUGAUAAGUAAAAAUGUGACUGUGGGUGGUUUUUGAUGCUUCAUUUAUAAGUUUGAGUUCCAAUGAGUUGAUUUGUUGUUGGAAAUUGUAGCCAUUUUUCUGAUAAGUCGAAUUAUUAGAUUGGCCUUUUCAUUCAAUAACAUUUCAACUGUAGCAACUAUAACAAAUGUCUUUAACUCUGAUGAGUAACUUGAGAUGUUGCAAAGUCAUAUUACAGAGAAACAGACAACUUUAGGACCCAAACCAUGAAAAAGUUUACACAUCACAUUUUUUAACAGAGCCAAACUUUAAAUUCACUUCCAAUCAUUUCUUUAUAACAGCUAGCCUACCAUCAUACCAGAGAUCUGAAAAUGUUUUGUUAAAACAUGCUACUUUUAAAUAAGUUUUCUGAAUCUGGAGUGAACAUUUUUCAUGUGCACAAAGUUAUCAGUAUAUUGUCAGAUAAUUUGUAGUCUUUCAACUCUCUUGGUUCAUGGGUUUGUUAUUCAUUUGUUUUUGUCCAGCUUCCUCGUCCCAUAGGUAUAACAGAUUUUUUAUCUGCAUUCAUAAUUUUACUUUGCAAGAAAAUGAAAAUAAAUAACUUAAUUUGUUUAGCUUUUAUUUAUAUUCCAUUAUGUUCUGUUAAUAUAUGAUUUUAUCUUGUGUUCAUUUGGGUUUUGAGUUUUAUCACUGAACAUUGAAUUUUUCUUUCACAGUCUGUCUGAUUUUGCUUGCAUAUUUAAUUACACUAUAAGAGAGAGAGAGAGAGAGAGAGCACAUUAAGAGGAUAAAUGGAAGCGAAUAAGUGAGUUGAGAGAGAGAGUACAUUAAAUUAAGUGAAUAAUGAAAGUAAUAAGUGAGUUGAGAGAGAGAGCAUGUUAAAUUAAGUGGAUAAAUGAAAGUGAAUUUGAGAGAGAGAGAGAGAGAGAGAGAGGUGGGGGCCAAAUUUGAGUUACUGGCUUUCCAGUACACUUUGCUACUUGAUGCAUUGUAGUCGAAUUUCAUAUGUACAGGUAAAAAUUUUUUUUUUUUCUAGGAGGGUAGAAUGGGUGAGGAAAUUCCAUUUCCAUAGGGGGUUAGAUUGCCAAGUUUGAAGUCAAGUCCAUUCCUUUAAGGGCCUUAUUGUGUUUGGUUAAUGUAGUACUAACACAUCUGUAGAUAGUAAUUUUCUACUCAUUUCAUUCCCUCUUUUCCUUUCAUUAUUUUGUUUCAUACUUCACAACUGCAAAAAUACAACUUCAUUUACUUUUUUUGCUUUAUGCUCUUAAUCUGUGUGAUCAAACUUACUCCAGUUCUUUUUGGGACUUCAUAUCACUAAGUCUAAAAGCAAAUGUUAAAUUUCAUGAAUGGUGUGAGUGCUCCUGCUUAUGUCAAAUUUGGCAAUUAUCUAAUAUUAAUGUUUCAAACCAUAUUGUACAUUUUGUUAUUGCAUGUGAACAUUAUUUAAACAAGGCUCUUUGUUCAACAGACAUACAGAAAUGAAACUAAAUAAAGACUUCAACGUGGUAAGCAGGGAGGUCAUUCCCGCCAGAGGUCUGGGAUCCCAAAAUGUUCCUGAAAGGAUUACGGAUGUUUGAAAGGAUUUUAUUUCUGCCAAGGCCAGAGUCCCUACGAGUCCCUCUUAAAGUCUCAAUGUUUUCUUAUGAACUUAAUGUCAAGUCCAUGCCAGAGCCAUCUUCUUUCAUGCCAGUAAGAGUGGUAACCUUUCACCUUUUAUCUGUAGAGCCCACAUGGGCAUCUCAGGUGAGAUGGUCAGCAUUCCUGUAAGUUCGGUCUUGUUACUUGGACGAGUUUUGAAUAAGCCAAGUGACAAAGCAAAGUGAUUUUUAUCUAAUUUGUAUGAUCUCCAAGUUGGUUUUCUAUUGAAUACAAUAUUUGAAUUUAUAAUUUGUCAAAACACGACUUUUUUCAUGGGAGACAUCUAUUCCCUUUCAGUUCUAAUUGGCAAGAGUUGCUGGUAAAUGACAACCACAACUUUAUGUACCCAGUUAAAGUGCUAAAUUAUCACAAGGAGUCCGCAGAUAGUUCUUGGAAAUCAUGAUAAAAUUUGGGUACAGAGAAGUCUUGCAACUUCGCCAUUUUCGUAUAUGUUUGCUAAAUUUGGAAGGAAGUUUUUUUACAACAGAUUUUCAAAAAGUGAAUCAUGAGGUUUUUAACAGAUACUGAUGUAUAUUGAAAUGUUAGAUUACAUUAAAUAACUAUCAAAUAACAUUCAUUUCUGAAUGAAAUGCCACUGACUUGUUUCAAUGAUAAGUUUGAUCUAUGUUUACAUGAUGCUGACCAAAGAAAUGUAUUCAAUUUUGACUUGUAAUUUUUGGUCUUUUGGUAACUUGGGUACAUGAACACAUGUAACAGUAUCAGAUAAGUUUGAAUUUAUUGAUUUAAAUUAUAACCUGCUCCACUGGACACUUAUGGACACAGCAAUCACUUAGAAAAACAAUCUUUUGAGUAACGUUAAUGUGACCAAUGAUGUCAUACUUACCAGGUAUACAGAACAGAUGCUCAAGUGUAUUUGCUACUGUGAGAUUCAUCAGUAAUUGUUGGUCGUACUGAAUUGCCCAUGAUUUGUAUUGACUGUAUGUCUCUGGGGAAGUAGUUGGAAGGUGUUCAUGUGGUAGUCUGGUGGUCUUGUAAAAGUAUAACUUGACUUUUUUUUUGGGUAUUGACAAAAGGAGCAGUUCUCAAGAGACACUCCUUAUGUGGGAUGCUAGAGACUUGUUGAUAUAUUGUGAAUUUGUGGAGUUUAGUCAUGUGAUGAUUUGUUGUGGUAUUGUGCUAUUAAAUUAUGGUACUUGGAGUCUUGCAAAGUAGUACAUUGGUGUAGUCUGAGACAGCUGUUUAUCUCUUGCUUUUUCCAUUGUCCAAGGCCAUUUGCUUUUGAGAUCUGAUUUCCUUGAGUGAAGGUAAGGGUUCAUCUUUCACAUCAUAGUGAAUGUGAAGAAUGAAUUAUAAUAAAGAAAUAUUUCACCCUCGAAAUUCAAACUACUAUCCAUGUUUCAUGCAGUGUUGUUGUUGUUGUUUUUUUUUUUUUUUUUUUUUGAUACUGCUUUUAUCUUGUUCCCUCUGUCACCAGAAGCAAGCAGGUUCUCUCUCUCUCUCUCUGUACUUAUUACUUCUGGUAUAACUAGAUGACUGCCAGCACAGCAGUUUCCAGUGUGAGGUGUAUCACCUAAGCAGAAUGGAUUGAAAUAAAAAUAAAACCACAUCCACAUUCCAGGCUAAAUCUUCC